ACGACUUAAGGUUUUGAUAUCCUCAGAAACCCGACAGCCACGUUUUCCUCGACACACCCUGGUGACGGUCCGGGACUCCGCCGCAGUAAACUCCGCUGGACGUCCAGACGGGUCGGCCGAGCUGGAGCAGCUCCCCGGCCGGUGGUCAAGGAAUAUGUGAAGCUAAAGCGGACAGAGGAAGGAGAAGGAGUCUCCGUCAAAGCCGGCUGUCCGUCACUCCGGCCCGGUUGGAACUCUCCACGUCUCCGGCUGACGCCCUCACACUCGGCCCCCAAAUGGCUGACGCACGGCAGUUCUUCACUGGCAAGCUUUAUGUUCCCGUACACAUGCUAAAGCUGCCAGCUGAAGAACUGCUCUGGUCAGCGCUGCCGCGGAUGACUCGAGAUGAGGAAGCGGAGAAGAAGGCGGAGGAAAAAGUGUUUCUCACGCUCAGUCAGACCGGCCAGUGUUUAUAAUCUGGUUUUAAACACAUGUACGGUGUGUUUUAUUUGAGGCAAUAGAGCAAUUACGUUUAUUCUCAUUUUUAUCCUCACAAAAACCUGCUUACAUUUUGUCAUGUUUUGCUUUCUCAGUGAAGAACACAUUAUUUUCUCAGACUAUUUUUGCUCUUUUUUGUGUGGAAAAAAAACCCACACGCACAAAUAAGCACACGAUAGAUUUAUCAAAAAAUCACUUUUAACUUUAAAGUCUGGUGAUAGAUAGAUAGAUAUAUACUUUAUUAAUCCCCAAGGGGAAAUUUGUCGAGACAGUAGCAGCAACACACAAGAAUAAAAAACAAAACACAAAAUAUAAGAAACAGGGAUGAAAGAUAUAUAAGUGUACAAGUAAGAUAAAGUAAAAUACAAAACAAAAUAUAUAUGUAAUAUACAACACACAUGCAUACACAACACACAACAACACUGACAAAUCAAAUACAAAAAUAUUAAAUAUAGACAGAGUGCAAAAAGCAAAGAUGCAAUAAACAGACAGUGGGAAAGAUCAGAGUAAAUUCUGAUGUUUGAAUGUAAAAGUGUCCUUAGAUAUGCAAUAACUUCUGAAUGUGGUGUUUGUUCUCACAUUAACAAAUCAGCAAGUCAGAACUGAAUGAAUCCAUGUUGUUGACAUUUUUUUCUUGAGGGGGUUAUUAAUAUCACCGACUGCGUCAAUGGAUUCCUUCACAAACGACCAACUUUCCUCAACUGAGGAACUCAUUGGUUCUGAAAUAAUGCUUCUGCUCUAUUUAUUUGCCUGAUCAGCAUCAGGUUAAUUGAUUAAUUAUGUUACUGUGAUCUGGAUUUGUUUAAUAAAGGAAGCAUUCUGAAUAAAAUUUGUGUCGUCAAUUAGACAAAAUAUAUCUCUAUCGUCAUGUUUGUCAAAUAAAAUACUUGUAAUUUUCAA